rnacentral:hammerhead_ribozyme from 1 species
AUUCAGCUGACGAGUCCCAAAUAGGACGAAACACGUGUUAAACUGAAU